GGAAGAGGUUAACUACUCGAUGACCGUGAGCACAUAACCCCAGGUCUCCUGGAGCCGAAGGACUGAUAAAUUUAAUCCCUGUGACACCGCCCUUUUUCUUCACCAUCAGCCAGUCAGAGAAUUGUGCACAAGCUGAUCACAGACCUGAGACAUCUCUCCCUCACCUGACUUUUGAUAAUGUCUUUCCAAAGCUUUCAGGGAGCUUGAGGCUUUGUAGGGCACGAGCCCUCUUCUUGCAAAGCCUCGCAAUAAACCUUUCUCUGCCCUGAACUCCAGCGUUUCAGUUUGUGUGGCCUCACUGUGUGUUGAGUCCAGACAAACUUACAUUAACAAUCCCACUUUCCAACUUCCUCAGAUGUGCCCACUAAGCUUCUGCCCCUCUGCCUCUUUAGAGUACUCACUGCCAUGAAUCUUGGACCUCGGCAUGGUCUCAAUUUUCUUCCUAAGCACUGUAAAUUAUUUGGGGCCAGGGCCUCUCCAUAUUUUGGCCACCUGAUGAGAAGAGCAGACUGAUUGGAAAAGACCCUGAUGCUGGGGAAGACUGAGGGCAGGAGGAGAAGGGUGUGACAGAGGAUGAGAUGGUUGGAUGGCAUCACCGCCUCAUUGGCCAUGAGUUUGGGCAAGCUACGGGAGAUUGUGAAGGACGGGGAAGGCUGGUGUGCUGCAGUCCAUGGGGUCACGAAGAGCUGGACACGACUGAAUGAC
ensembl:lncRNA